rnacentral:rRNA from 1 species
UACGUAGGUGGCGAGCGUUGUCCGGAAUUACUGGGUGCAAAGGGCGUGUAGGCGGGAAUACAAGUCAGAUGUGAAAUUCCAGAGCUCAACUCUGGCGCUGCAUCUGAAACUGUGUUUCUUGAGUACUGGAGAGGAAAGCGGUAUUCCUAGUGUAGCGGUGAAAUGCGUAGAUAUUAGGAGGAACACCAGUGGCGAAGGCGGCUUUCUGGACAGUAACUGACGCUGAGGCGCGAAAGCGUGGGGAGCAAACAGG